GAGUUUGAUCCUGGCUCAGAUUGAACGCUGGCGGCAUGCUUUACACAUGCAAGUCGAACGGGCUGCGGGGCAACCUGCAGUCAGUGGCGAACGGGUGAGUAAUGCAUCGGAACGUGUCCCGUAGUGGGGGAUAACCCGGCGAAAGCCGGACUAAUACCGCAUAUGCUCUGAGGAGGAAAGUGGGGGACCCGAAAGGGCCUCACGCUAUGGGAGCGGCCGAUGUCCGAUUAGCUUGUUGGUGGGGUAAUGGCCUACCAAGGCGACGAUCGGUAGCUGGUCUGAGAGGAUGAUCAGCCACACUGGGACUGAGACACGGCCCAGACUCCUACGGGAGGCAGCAGUGGGGAAUUUUGGACAAUGGGGGCAACCCUGAUCCAGCCAUGCCGCGUGCGGGAAGAAGGCCUUCGGGUUGUAAACCGCUUUUAGUCGGAAAGAAAAGGCACGUCCUAAUACGGCGUGUUCUUGACGGUACCGGCGGAAUAAGCACCGGCUAACUACGUGCCAGCAGCCGCGGUAAUACGUAGGGUGCGAGCGUUAAUCGGAAUUACUGGGCGUAAAGCGUGCGCAGGCGGUUCGUCGUGUCCGAUGUGAAAGCCCCGGGCUUAACCUGGGAAUGGCAUUGGAAAACUGGC
rnacentral:rRNA from 1 species